rnacentral:rRNA from 1 species
UACGAAGGGUGCAAGCGUUACUCGGAAUUACUGGGCGUAAAGCGUGCGCAGGCGGUUUUGUAAGCCCGAUGUGAAAUCCCCGGGCUCAACCUGGGAAUGGCAUUUGGGACUGCAAGGCUGGAGUACGGCAGGGGAGACUGGAAUUCCUGGUGUAGCAGUGAAAUGCGUAGAUAUCAGGAGGAAUACCGAUGGCGAAGGCAGGUCUCUGGGCUGAUACUGACGCUCAUGCACGAAAGCGUGGGGAGCAAACAGG